UACGUAGGGUGCAAGCGUUGUCCGGAAUUAUUGGGCGUAAAGAGCUCGUAGGCGGUUCGUCGCGUCGGCUGUGAAAACCUGAGGCUCAACCUCAGGCCUGCAGUCGAUACGGGCGGACUUGAGUACUGCAGGGGAGACUGGAAUUCCUGGUGUAGCGGUGAAAUGCGCAGAUAUCAGGAGGAACACCGGAGGCGAAGGCGGGUCUCUGGGCAGUAACUGACGCUGAGGAGCGAAAGCGUGGGGAGCGAACAGG
rnacentral:rRNA from 1 species